CCUACGGGUGGCAGCAGUGGGGAAUAUUGCACAAUGGAGGCAACCCUGAUGCAGCGACGCCGCGUGAAGGAUGAAGUCUUUCGGUAUGUAAAAUUCUAUCUGCAGGGAAGAAAAUGACGGUACGUGACUCAGACGCUCCGGCUAACUACGUUAAAGCAGCCGCGUUAAUCCGUAGGGGGCAAGCGUUUUCCGGAUUUACUGGGUGUAACGGGCGCGUAGACGGUAUGUAAAGUCUGAUGUGAACGCCCGGGGCUCAACCCCGGGACUGCAUUGGAAACUGGCGAACGAGAGUGUCGGAGAGGCAAGUGGAAUUCCUAGUGUAGCGGUGAAAUGCGUAGAUAUUAGGAGGAACACCAGUGGCGAAGGCGACUGGCUGGACGAUGACUGACGUUGAGGCUCGAAAGCGUGGGGAUCAAACAGGAUUAGAUACCCGAGUAGUC
rnacentral:rRNA from 1 species